CUACGGGAUGCUCCAGUGAGGAAUAUUGGACAAUGGAGGCAACUCUGAUCCAGCCAUGCCGCGUGCAGGAAGACGGCCCUACGGGUUGUAAACUGCUUUUAUACAGGAAGAAACGCCGCUACGUGUAGCGGUUUGACGGUACUGUACGAAUAAGGAUCGGCUAACUCCGUGCCAGCAGCCGCGGUAAUACGGAGGAUCCAAGCGUUAUCCGGAAUCAUUGGGUUUAAAGGGUCCGUAGGCGGUUUUUUAAGUCAGAGGUGAAAUCCUGCAGCUCAACUGUAGCAUUGCCUUUGAUACUGAAAGACUUGAGUUAUUGUGAAGUAGUUAGAAUGUGUAGUGUAGCGGUGAAAUGCAUAGAUAUUACACAGAAUACCGAUUGCGAAGGCAGAUUACUAACAAUAUACUGACGCUGAGGGACGAAAGCGUGGGUAGCGAACAGGAUUAGAUACCCUCGUAGUC
rnacentral:rRNA from 1 species